UACGAAGGGGGCUAGCGUUGUUCGGAAUUACUGGGCGUAAAGCGCACGUAGGCGGAUAUUUAAGUCAGGGGUGAAAUCCCAGAGCUCAACUCUGGAACUGCCUUUGAUACUGGGUAUCUCGAGUAUGGAAGAGGUUAGUGGAACUGCGAGUGUAGAGGUGAAAUUCGUAGAUAUUCGCAAGAACACCAGUGGCGAAGGCGGCUGACUGGUCCGGUUCUGACGCGUGAGGCGGCGAAAAGCGUGGGGAGCAAACAGG
rnacentral:rRNA from 1 species